CAGCCGCCGCGGUAAUACGAAGGGGGCUAGCGUUGCUCGGAAUUACUGGGCGUAAAGGGAGCGUAGGCGGAUGAAUUAGUCAGGGGUGAAAUCCCGGGGCUCAACCUCGGAACUGCCUUUGAUACUGUUCAUCUUGAGUAUGGGAGAGGUGUGUGGAACUCCGAGUGUAGCGGUGAAAUGCGUAGAGAUGUGGAGGAACACCAGUGGCGAAGGCGACUCUCUGGUCUGUAACUGACGCUGAGGAGCGAAAGCGUGGGGAGCGAACAGGAUUAGAUACCCCAGUAGUCCCUGUCUCUUAUAU
rnacentral:rRNA from 1 species